GAGUAGUCCUAUGAGAUUUGAGAGGCUAAGUCCAAGAGUCUGUGGCCAUAGCAGUAUGAUUGAUGGAAAAGAGUUUUCAUAAGGAUCAUAUUUGGACUUGAGCUGAUCGAAUCUAUUAUAUGACUGAUGUUGAGGUUUGACGAUUUAUCUGUGACCUGCCAUCUAGUCAGGACUCACGAUAGAGGGACUGAGUCACACGUUAACUACACCUUGAGGUUCUUUUUGAUUUUACUGGAUUAUCACUACAUACUGCUAGGUGUCAUUGGU
rnacentral:lncRNA from 1 species